ACGGAAGGCAGCAGUGGGGAAUAUUGGACAAUGGGGGAAACCCUGAUCCAGCGACGCCGCGUGAGUGAAGAAGUAUUUCGGUAUGUAAAGCUCUAUCAGCAGGGAAGAUAAUGACGGUACCUGACUAAGAAGCUCCGGCUAAAUACGUGCCAGCAGCCGCGGUAAUACGUAUGGAGCAAGCGUUAUCCGGAUUUACUGGGUGUAAAGGGAGCGCAGGCGGUUAAGUAAGUUGGGUGUGAAAGCCCGGGGCUCAACCCCGAGGACUGCACCCAAAACUGCAUAACUAGAGUGUCGGAGGGGCAAGCGGAAUUCCUAGUGUAGCGGUGAAAUGCGUAGAUAUUAGGAGGAACACCGGUGGCGAAGGCGGCUUGCUGGACGAUAACUGACGCUGAGGCUCGAAAGCGUGGGGAGCAAACAGGAUUAGAUACCCUGGUA
rnacentral:rRNA from 1 species